CCUACGGGUGGCAGCAGUCGAGAAUCAUUCACAAUGGGGGAAACCCUGAUGGUGCGACGCCGCGUGGGGGAAUGAAGGUCUUCGGAUUGUAAACCCCUGUCAUGAGGGAGCAAAUUAAAAAGAUAGUACCACAAGAGGAAGAGACGGCUAACUCUGUGCCAGCAGCCGCGGUAAUACAGAGGUCUCAAGCGUUGUUCGGAAUCACUGGGCGUAAAGCGUGCGUAGGCUGUUUCGUAAGUCGUGUGUGAAAGGCGCGGGCUCAACCCGCGGACGGCACAUGAUACUGCGAGACGAGAGGAAUGGAGGGGGAACCGGAAUUCUCGGUGUAGCAGUGAAAUGCGUAGAUAUCGAGAGGAACACUCGUGGCGAAGGCGGGUUCCUGGACAUUAACUGACGCUGAGGCACGAAGGCCAGGGGAGCGAAAGGGAUUAGAUACCCUGGUAGUC
rnacentral:rRNA from 1 species